rnacentral:misc_RNA from 1 species
UUAAGUUCAGCGGGUCUUCCUACCUGAUCCGAGGUCAACCUUGGGUAAAAAAGGCUUUUUAACGGCCGGAACCCGCAGCACGCCCUGAGCGAGAUAAAAUCUACUACGCCCGGUGUGACAGCGAGCCCGCCACUGGUUUCAGGGCCUGCGGCAGCCGCAGGUCCCCAACACAAGCCUGGGGCUUGAUGGUUGAAAUGACG